ACUAACAGUGUUGAUCCAUUCUUUUGAUACAGCAUUUUUGAACCACACUUUUUGUAGAAUCUGCAAGUGGAUAUUUGGCUAGCUUUGAGGAUUUCGUUGGAAACAGUAAUGUCUUCAAAGAAAAUCUAGACAGAAACAUUCUCAGGAACACCUUCGUGAUGUUUGCAAUCAAGUCACAGAGUUGAACCUUCCGUUUCAUAGAGCAGGUUGGAAAAACUCUUUUUGUAGUAUCUGGAAGUGGACAUUUAGAGCGCUUUCAGGCCUCUGGUGA
rnacentral:lncRNA from 10 species